GGCGACAGCGCAGCACGGGGCCCAGACGGGACCGGGGCUGGGGCCAGGCAGGGGGACUCCGGGACUCAGGGCUGCGGAGCCUGCGGCGACACCCAGGCCGCCGCACCCGGACGCGCGGCUGCUCCCACCCCCGCAAAGCGAAACCAAACCAAACCGUAGGCGCGGCCGGCUUGAGACCCCAGCACUCCCGGACGAGGCAGAAGGACCUCAAGCUCAAGCCCAGCCUGAGCAGCUUAGGGACAGGGGACCCUCGCUCGGGGUCCGGCUCAGAACCCUGUGCUCAGCCCCCAGUGCCACAGAACAAAACCAAAGGCAGCAAAGGCCCGAGACUCCCAAGUGCUGGGAUCACAGGUGUGCGCCACCAAGCCUGGCUCUGCAAAGGAAAGAUAAGCCGAAGACUGGGAGAAGAUGUAAGGAAAGACUCCUCUGAUAAGGAGCUGGAAUCCAAAACAGAUAAGGAAUUACAGAUAAUGGCCAGGCUGACCUUCACCUCAAGUGACCCUCCCGCCUCAGCCUCUUGAGUGCUGGGAUCACAGGUGUCUGCUACUAUGCCUGGCUUCUUAUUUAUUUACUUAGCAGUUAGCGGUGCUGGGACUGGGGCCUGGGGACCCCUGCAAGGCCAGUGCUCGCCGCUGAGCAGUGCCCCAUGCCUUUUGAGAAAGGGUCCCACUAGGCUGCCCAGGCUGCCCUUGAACUUGAAAUCCUCCUGCCUCAGCUUCCUGAGUGGCGGAUGCCCCACAUGCCUCUUGGUGCUGAGAGUUCCUCAGCUCCCUGACGACCCUCCGGGACCCCUCAGCUGUGCACAUGCAGCCGCAGCUACUCGGUACCCAUGCAGUCUGAGACUGUGCCCAGCUGCGCCAUGCAGAGCGCCGUGUGGGGGUGGACGGGUCCCAGCCGUGGCUGUUCAGACGGCUGUCACUCGGGGAGGGGACCUGUGGCUCACACAGCCCUGCCUCCGUGUCUCCUGCCGAGCUGUUGUCAAGAGCUCAGCAGAACUGCACUUCAGAAAUGUUCAGUCUCCAGCAGGGGUGUGUGCCUGGGAUCCCAGCACUGGGGAGGCUGAGGCAGGAGGAUCACUAUGAGUCUGAGGCCAACCUGGGCUACACAGUGAGCUCAAAGCCAGCCUGAAGUACAUAGCGAGACCCUGUCUCACAAAACAAAACAAAUAAAAGAGAAAGAAAAGAACUGCCUGUGCUGGAAAUCAAUGUGGGCGUGCAGGGCAUGGGAGGCUGAGGCAGGGCUCCCGCUGCACAGGCAGAGAUGUCUGGGAUCUGAGUUUCUGGCUCUGGGCUUGUUACCUUGGGUCACUCUCAUUGCCAUGCGUGGGGUGGGGGUCAGUGGCAAAGGCUGCUUCCUUCCUUCCUUCCUUUUCUGCAGCAGAGUGGAGCUAACCCCGAGCUGCAUUCGCAGCUCUUUCACUUUUAGUUUUUAUUUUGAGACUGGGUCUCCCAAAGUUGCCAAGUUGCCCAGGUUGAGCUCAAAUCCAAGAUCCUCCCGCCUCAGCCUCCCUGAGUACUGGAUGACAGGCGUGUGCCCCGUUGCCUGGCCCACGGCUGAGGGUCAGGCUCCUGCACAAAGACUCUCAGCAUCUCCUGUGCCCAGCUGGAGGCGGGCAGAGACCUCAGACCACGCCCGAGUUUCCCUGUGGCUCCCCGCCGGGCAGGGAUCCUCCUGCCUCAGCCUCCCAAGUGCUGGGGUGACAGGCGUGUGCCACCUGGACCAGUGCCAUUUGCAGUUUAAUAAAAGUCCUGGCUCUGUUCCCACCCAGGGACCCUGGGGAGCCCUGGGGAGAGAGUGCCACCCCAGGCGAGGACGCAAUGUCGCCUGUCCAGGCGGUUGCAGGGCAGGUGCGUCCUAGCAGGCAGUGCAGUGGCUCUGACUCCCAACACCCUGUCACCUGCACCUCAGCUGUCCCCACCCGCCCAACUGAGGAGCUAUCUGCCGAACUCCUAUGGAUGCAACGGGGCCCCACACCCGGAACAGGGAGUGUGCAACCCAAGACUAGGAGGGAGCCCCGCAGACCUGAGACCGGAUGGCAGUGGGGCCGAGGUGGGCCUGGGAGCUGUCCUGGGGCCCUUCCUGCCCGCUGGCUGUGGUGGUCUCGCCAUGGUCCCUGACAGUCCCUGAGGGCCACGUGCCUGGAUUCCAGGCCCAGUUCCCUCCUCUGGUUUGAGUCCCUUGGGCAGGGGCAUGGACACCACUCCUGAGGCCCUCCCCACCACAUUCCCUCGCUGUGUCCCCAGGGCUGUGUGGGGCGCUUGGUCCCCAGUGUGGCCCUUUAAGAGGCGGGGCCUGGUGGGCGGUCCCUAGGUGUGGGUGUGGCCCGAGGCUGUUUGUUUCCUAGCGCGAUGCCCUCUGGCUCCGCCCACCUUGCCCCAGAUGAGGGGACUGUUCCUGGUUAGGGCUGAGUUCAACUCCGUGCUCAGGGGGGCCCAGCCUACCUGCCUUUCUUCUUAUAGUCUCACUAAGUCACUACGUGGCCCAGGCUGGGCUUGAACUUGCAACCCUCCUGCCUCAGCCUCCUGAGUAGCUGGGGCGCAGGCGUGAACCCCCGCACUUUUCACAGACCCCUUCCUGAGAUAAUCACUGACCCUUAACCUGGCCACCGGCCCCAGCCCUGACUCUGUCCCCGUGAGGGUCACACUUCCCCAGGAGUUCGGAAUCGGCUCGCAGCACCUCCAGGAGGAAUCCCGUAGGCCUUCGGAGAGGACACCCCACAGUCG
rnacentral:lncRNA from 1 species